rnacentral:rRNA from 1 species
AACGAACGCUGGCGGCAUGCCUAACACAUGCAAGUCGAACGAAGCCUUCGGGCUUAGUGGCGCACGGGUGCGUAACGCGUGGGAAUCUGCCCUUUGGUUCGGAAUAACAGUUGGAAACGACUGCUAAUACCGGAUGAUGACGAAAGUCCAAAGAUUUAUCGCCAGAGGAUGAGCCCGCGUAGGAUUAGCUAGUUGGUGCGGUAAAGGCGCACCAAGGCGACGACCCUUAGCUGGUCUGAGAGGAUGAUCAGCCACACUGGGACUGAGACACGGCCCAGACUCCUACGGGAGGCAGCAGUGGGGAAUAUUGGACAAUGGGCGAAAGCCUGAUCCAGCAAUGCCGCGUGAGUGAUGAAGGCCCUAGGGUUGUAAAGCUCUUUUACCCGGGGUGAUAAUGACAGUACCGGGAGAAUAAGCCCCGGCUAACUCCGUGCCAGCCGCCGCGGUAA